UACGUAGGUGACAAGCGUUGUCCGGAUUUACUGGGCGUAAAGAGCGCGCAGGCGGUCGUUCAAGUCGAGUGUGAAAGCCCCCGGCUCAACUGGGGAGGGUCAUUCGAUACUGAUCGACUCGAAGGCAGGAGAGGGAAGUGGAAUUCCCGGUGUAGUGGUGAAAUGCGUAGAUAUCGGGAGGAGCACCUGUGGCGAAAGCGGCGCGCUGGACCAUAACUGACGCUGAGGCGCGAAAGCUAGGGGAGCAAACAGG
rnacentral:rRNA from 1 species